rnacentral:lncRNA from 1 species
AGGAAUCUUAAGAUCAAGGAGGAGAUUGUGGUUAUAAAUGUCUGAUGGCAUCUCUACAUCUCAGGUGAAGCAUGGAGGAUUUCACAGAUGAAGUGAGUGAUACCUGAAUAGCUAUUGGAGAAUAUGUAAAAGUGAGAAACAGAGCAUGAAUCUGAAGAAGUCAUACAAACGUGAGAAAGAAGUUGAGAAAGAGAUUUUCCUGCGUAAGAAAAUGCUGUGUUUGAAAAGUCUGUUGAAAGGGUCUCAUUCUCUCACCCAGGCUGAAGUGUAGUGGCACGAACAUGGCUCACUACAACCUCCACCCUUCUGGCUCAAUGGAACCUCCUGAGGAUCCCUGCUGCCCCAGCUUCUCAAAUAAUGGGAACUACAGGCAUGUGCCAUCAAGCCCAGCUAACUUUUACAAUUUUCUGUAAAGAGGUGGUCUCACCAUGUUGCUCAGGCUGGUCUUGAGCUCUUGGGCUCACAUGUUCCUCCUACCUUGGACUUCCAAAGUGUUAGGAUUAGAGGAGUGAUCCAGUUGUAGUAUUGAGAAGGUCAAAAUUAGUGGUCAAUAUAGUAGGUUUUUUGGUUCCCAAUACCAUAAUACAGACAUUGGUGGCAAAGAGAAUUGCAUUUUUGUUUAUUCACUUUUCAUAUAGGACUGAUAAGCACCAAGAAUUUGAUAUGUAUAUCCGAACAAUUACAAAAGAAAUGUAGGUAUAAAUCGUGUUUCAAAAUUCACAUUUAUUGAAAUAUUAUUUAUAUUAGGUGUACAGUUUGAUGAUUUAUGAUACAUGUAAAUGAUUGUAUAAU